UUGAUAGGAAAUCACAAGACCUGGAGUCUCAAGAAUCUGCACUUCGAAGGGAUCGAUUAUCCUUCAUUGCAGAGCAAGAAGCACAUGAGAAUACAUUGUCUAAGCAGAGAGAAGACUUGUGGGAAUGGGAGAAGAAACUUCAGGAAGGUGAAGAGAGGCUGGCCAAGGG